rnacentral:tRNA from 1 species
GGGGUUAUAGCUCAGUGGUAUAGUGCAUGCUUAGCAUGUAUAAGGCCCUGGGUUCACUCUCCAGCAUCUCCA